rnacentral:rRNA from 1 species
GACGAACGCUGGCGGCGUGCUUAACACAUGCAAGUCGAACGGUGACGGAGAGCUUGCUCUCCUGAUCAGUGGCGAACGGGUGAGUAACACGUGGUCAACCUGCCCCAGACUUCGGGAUAACGCUUCGAAAGAGGUGCUAAUACCGGAUACGAACUCCUUGGGCAUCCUUGGAGUUGGAAAGUUUUUCGGUCUGGGAUGGGCCCGCGGCCUAUCAGCUUGUUGGUGAGGUAACGGCUCACCAAGGCGACGACGGGUAGCCGGCCUGAGAGGGCGACCGGCCACACUGGGACUGAGACACGGCCCAGACUCCUACGGGAGGCAGCAGUGGGGAAUAUUGCGCAAUGGGCGAAAGCCUGACGCAGCAACGCCGCGUGAGGGAUGACGGCCUUCGGGUUGUAAACCUCUUUCAGCAGGGAAGAAGCGAAAGUGACGGUACCUGCAGAAGAAGCACCGGCUAACUACGUGCCAGCAGCCGCCGUAAUAC